rnacentral:rRNA from 1 species
AACGAACGCUGGCGGCAGGCUUAACACAUGCAAGUCGAGCGCCCCGCAAGGGGAGCGGCAGACGGGUGAGUAACGCGUGGGAAGCUACCCAUCUCUACGGAAUAACGCAUGGAAACGUGUGCUAAUACCGUAUACGUCCUUCGGGAGAAAGAUUUAUCGGAGCUGGAUGAGCCCGCGUUGGAUUAGCUAGUUGGUGGGGUAAAGGCCUACCAAGGCGACGAUCCAUAGCUGGUCUGAGAGGAUGAUCAGCCACACUGGGACUGAGACACGGCCCAGACUCCUACGGGAGGCAGCAGUGGGGAAUAUUGGACAAUGGGCGCAAGCCUGCUCCAGCCAUGCCGCGUGAGUGAUGAAGGCCCUAGGGUUGUAAAGCUCUUUCACCGGUGAAGAUAAUGACGGUAACCGGAGAAGAAGCCCCGGCUAACUUCGUGCCAGCCGCCGCGGUAACAC